rnacentral:rRNA from 1 species
GAUGAACGCUAGCGGCAGGCUUAAUACAUGCAAGUCGAGGGGUAGCAAGAUUGUAGCAAUACAAUUGUUGACGACCGGCAAACGGGUGCGGAACACGUACACAACCUUCCUACAAGUGGGGAAUAGCCCAGAGAAAUUUGGAUUAAUACCCCGUAACAUAGCGAUGUGGCAUCACAUUGCUAUUAUAGCUUCGGCGCUUGUUGAUGGGUGUGCGGCUGAUUAGAUAGUUGGCGGGGUAACGGCCCACCAAGUCUACGAUCAGUAGCUGAUGUGAGCGCAUGAUCAGCCACACGGGCACUGAGACACGGGCCCGACUCCUACGGGAGGCAGCAGUAAGGAAUAUUGGACAAUGGACGCAAGUCUGAGCCAGCCAUGCCGCGUGAAGGAUUAAGGUCCUCUGGAUUGUAAACUUCUUUUAUAAGGGACGAAAAAAGGUCUUUCUAGAUCGUCUGACGGUACCUUAUGAAUAAGCACCGGCUAACUCCGUGCCAGCAGCCGCAGUAAGAC